UUAAAACUAUGCUUACUCGCCAAGAGAAAGCAAUUCACUUUGUGAAACUGAAAAGAAAAUUAUACAAAUUCUAGGUUUAGAAAUAUAAAAUUAAAAGAGUUAGCCCCAAAAGCCACAAACUCAGGGCUAAGCCCUGCCGCCAGGAAUAGCAGGCCAUAAAGAUAAAGAAAAGGAAUGCAGGAUCCAGCUCAGGCUAUCGAGGACUGACCCAUAAACCAUCCAAAGACGUCCCCCCAGCUUACUCAGAGUCAUACUUUAACCAGAUGUCCUGCAGACCCUGAUAAGCCCCUACUUGUGCUUUUCAGCCAUUGUGUCCUACAGAGAGCACUCCAAGAAACCGGACAGCCCAAGCCUAACCAGAGGUGUUUCAAAUACAAAUGCUCCAUCAGUUUUGACAAACGUUUAAAAAUAAUGAGGACCUGAAGACCCUACCCUUCUCCUGAUUUAGUAGCUCUGUUCCAGGAACCAGGGGGCCAUAAAACCUUCUGGCGUCCCCUUAUCUCCUGGAGCCAUAAAACAAUCUUGUAACUUGUGGUACAUUCCCCUUUGACAUCCCCCAUCCCCUGGUGCUCACAGCCUCUGCCUUUAAAUACUCUUUUUCCCAGCCUCUCGGGGCCGACACCUCUGUCUCCUGCGCGGGAUAUGUGUCGGCCCGGAGAUCUCUGUAAUAGGUCUCCGUAAUAAACCUCGCCUUUGCUUAUUACAUCCAAAAUGGUCUCUCUGUGUCUGGGGUCCGCAAUUUCCCAAGACUUGAGUAAGGGUCUCUCUGCGUGGGAUCUUUCAUAUUUAUGGGGGCUCGUCCGGGAUCUGCGCUACUACCCCAGACUCCGAAGACCCCUUGGAGGCUAAAAGACCUACAGGUGAUACAGAAAGAAAUCUGCUCACAGCUGACAACAGCCUAUGCCCCGGAGACCCCUGAGACAUCCCAUCAGUUCCAGGUCGGAAGCAGCUACACUGAGCCCAGACACUCGAUCCUCGCUGGAAAGGACCAUACCUGGUGCUGCUGACCACCCUGACAGCCGUCAAUUCUCAGCCCUCACCAGCCGUGUACUAGCUGUUAGGGCUGAGAGCUGGGACCUAGAGAGAAAUUCAGUCAUGUUUGUCCUGGGUUCCAUCGAGAUAGGUGUGGGGAUAGGCUUGAUUUCUAUUACAAAUAAUGUAACAUUACAUAUGUUAGUACUCCUAACACUUCUUGGGACUGUGCCUCAGGGAUCACAACCUAUAUAAGUUUAGAAGUUCUGAAAGACAGUCAUGACCUUGGUGUAUAGGUUCAGAUAGUGUCCAGAUUGGAAUCCUGAUGCUAAAGACUUAGUAAGAGACAAAAAAAAGGAGUUGAGAAUUACUUAGGGCUAGGGCUAUCUAGGUGCUACAAGGGCAGCACAAGGACAUCUGCUGUUGCCCUACAAUACAAGGCUUAUAGAGAAUUCAGAACUGCCAUUGACUCAGAUAUAAAAAGAGUAAAAGACUUUUUAGCUGACCUCCAAGAAUACCUAACUUCCCUCUCAGAGGUAGUCCUUCAAAAUAAGAAAAGAUCAGACCUGAUAUUCCUUAAAGAAGGAAUCUGUGUGCUACACUGAAAGAAAAAUGUUGCUUCUAUACAGACCAUUCAGGAGUAAUUAAAGACUCCAUAAAUAAACUUAAAAAAAGGUUAGACAAAAGACAGACAGACAGAAAAACACAUCAGAGAUAGUUCGAGAGCUAGUUUAGUAGAUCUCCCUGGAUGACUACCCUACUCUCUGCUACAGCUGGGCCAUUAUUAAUAAUUUUCUUGGUUUUAGUUUUUGGCUCCUGCGUGACAAACAGGUUAAUUGCUUUUGUUAAAAAUUGAGUGGGUGCUGUGCGGUUGAUGGUCCUGAGACAACAGUACCAGUCAGUUAGGACAACUGGUGAGACCAAAUAAGACUUGAUAUCAAAAUUCUAAGAUUAGAAUUAUUUAGUAGGAGAAGACGGGAAUGAAAAGAAAAUUAUACAAAUUCUAGGUUUAGAAAUAUAAAAUUAAAAGAGUUAGCCCCAAAAGCCACAAACUCAGGGCUAAGCCCUGCCGCCAGGAAUAGCAGGCCAUAAAGAUAAAGAAAAGGAAUGCAGGAUCCAGCUCAGGCUAUCGAGGACUGACCCAUAAACCAUCCAAAGACGUCCCCCCAGCUUACUCAGAGUCAUACUUUAACCAGAUGUCCUGCAGACCCUGAUAAGCCCCUACUUGUGCUUUUCAGCCAUUGUGUCCUACAGAGAGCACUCCAAGAAACCGGACAGCCCAAGCCUAACCAGAGGUGUUUCAAAUACAAAUGCUCCAUCAGUUUUGACAAACGUUUAAAAAUAAUGAGGACCUGAAGACCCUACCCUUCUCCUGAUUUAGUAGCUCUGUUCCAGGAACCAGGGGGCCAUAAAACCUUCUGGCGUCCCCUUAUCUCCUGGAGCCAUAAAACAAUCUUGUAACUUGUGGUACAUUCCCCUUUGACAUCCCCCAUCCCCUGGUGCUCACAGCCUCUGCCUUUAAAUACUCUUUUUCCCAGCCUCUCGGGGCCGACACCUCUGUCUCCUGCGCGGGAUAUGUGUCGGCCCGGAGAUCUCUGUAAUAGGUCUCCGUAAUAAACCUCGCCUUUGCUUAUUACAUCCAAAA